rnacentral:rRNA from 1 species
GACGAACGCUGGCGGCGUGCUUAACACAUGCAAGUCGAACGGAAAGGCCCUGCUUUUGUGGGGUGCUCGAGUGGCGAACGGGUGAGUAACACGUGAGUAACCUGCCCUUGACUUUGGGAUAACUUCAGGAAACUGGGGCCAAUACCGGAUAGGAGCUCCUGCUGCAUGGUGGGGGUUGGAAAGUUUCGGCGGUUGGGGAUGGACUCGCGGCUUAUCAGCUUGUUGGUGGGGUAGUGGCUUACCAAGGCUUUGACGGGUAGCCGGCCUGAGAGGGUGACCGGCCAAAUGGGGACGAGGAUACGGCCCAGACUCUUAGGGGGGGCAGCGGUGGGGAAUAUUGCACAAUGGGCGGAAGCCUGAUGCAGCAACGCGGCGGGCGGGAUGACGGCCUUCGGGUGGUAAACCGCUUUGGCCUGUGACGAAGCGUGAGUGACGGUAAUGGGUAAAGAAGAACCGGCUAACUACGG